rnacentral:rRNA from 1 species
AGGGUUUGAUUAUGGCUCAGGACGAACGCUGGCGGCGUGCUUAACACAUGCAAGUCGAACGAGACGAUUGAAAGCUUGCUUUUGAAAGUCGAGUGGCAAACGGGUGAGUAACGCGUAGACAACCUGCCGUAAAGAUGGGGACAACAGUCCGAAAGGACUGCUAAUACCGAAUGUUGUAAAUCUUCCGCAUGGAAGACUUACUAAAGGUGGCCUCUACUUGUAAGCUAUCGCUUUACGAUGGGUCUGCGUCUGAUUAGCUGGUUGGUGGGGUAACGGCCUACCAAGGCGACGAUCAGUAGCCGGUCUGAGAGGAUGAACGGCCACAUUGGAACUGAGACACGGUCCAG